AGACCCGAAACCCGGUGAUCUAGCCAUGGGCAGGUUGAAGGUUGGGUAACACUAACUGGAGGACCGAACCGACUAAUGUUGAAAAAUUAGCGGAUGACCUGUGGCUGGGGGUGAAAGGCCAAUCAAACCGGGAGAUAGCUGGUUCUCCCCGAAAGCUAUUUAGGUAGCGCCUCGUGAAUUCAUCUCCGGGGGUAGAGCACUGUUUCGGCUAGGGGGCCAUCCCGGCUUACCAACCCGAUGCAAACUGCGAAUACCGGAGAAUGUUAUCACGGGAGACACACGGCGGGUGCUAACGUCCGUCGUGAAGAGGGAAACAACCCAGACCGCCAGCUAAGGUCCCAAAGUCAUGGUUAAGUGGGAAACGAUGUGGGAAGGCCCAGACAGCCAGGAUGUUGGCUUAGAAGCAGCCAUCAUUUAAAGAAAGCGUAAUAGCUCACUGGUCGAGUCGGCCUGCGCGGAAGAUGUAACGGGGCUAAACCAUGCACCGAAGCUGCGGCAGCGAACGUAUCACUUAAAGCGAUUCAGCGGAUGACGAUUGACGGAGCGAAGCGACGUCAAAGCGUAUACAAAGUCGAGUCGGUUUAAGGAUACGUUCGUUGGGUAGGGGAGCGUUCUGUAAGCCUGUGAAGGUGGCCUGUGAGGGUUGCUGGAGGUAUCAGAAGUGCGAAUGCUGACAUAAGUAACGAUAAAGCGGGUGAAAAGCCCGCUCGCCGGAAGACCAAGGGUUCCUGUCCAACGUUAAUCGGGGCAGGGUGAGUCGACCCCUAAGGCGAGGCCGAAAGGCGUAGUCGAUGGGAAACGGGUUAAUAUUCCCGUACUUGGUGUUACUGCGAAGGGGGGACGGAGAAGGCUAUGUUGGCCGGGCGACGGUUGUCCCGGUUUAAGCGUGUAGGCUGGUUUUCCAGGCAAAUCCGGAAAAUCAAGGCUGAGGCGUGACGACGAGGCACUACGGUGCUGAAGCAACAAAUGCCCUGCUUCCAGGAAAAGCCUCUAAGCAUCAGGUAACAUCAAAUCGUACCCCAAACCGACACAGGUGGUCAGGUAGAGAAUACCAAGGCGCUUGAGAGAACUCGGGUGAAGGAACUAGGCAAAAUGGUGCCGUAACUUCGGGAGAAGGCACGCUGACACGUAGGUGAAGUGAUUUACUCAUGGAGCUGAAGUCAGUCGAAGAUACCAGCUGGCUGCAACUGUUUAUUAAAAACACAGCACUGUGCAAACACGAAAGUGGACGUAUACGGUGUGACGCCUGCCCGGUGCCGGAAGGUUAAUUGAUGGGGUCAGCGCAAGCGAAGCUCCUGAUCGAAGCCCCGGUAAACGGCGGCCGUAACUAUAACGGUCCUAAGGUAGCGAAAUUCCUUGUCGGGUAAGUUCCGACCUGCACGAAUGGCGUAAUGAUGGCCAGGCUGUCUCCACCCGAGACUCAGUGAAAUUGAACUCGCUGUGAAGAUGCAGUGUACCCGCGGCAAGACGGAAAGACCCCGUGAACCUUUACUAUAGCU
rnacentral:rRNA from 1 species